AGUGAACGCUGGCGGUAGGCCUAACACAUGCAAGUCGAACGGCAGCACAGUAAGAGCUUGCUCUUACGGGUGGCGAGUGGCGGACGGGUGAGGAAUACAUCGGAAUCUACUUUUUCGUGGGGGAUAACGUAGGGAAACUUACGCUAAUACCGCAUACGACCUACGGGUGAAAGCAGGGGAUCUUCGGACCUUGCGCGAUUGAAUGAGCCGAUGUCGGAUUAGCUAGUUGGCGGGGUAAAGGCCCACCAAGGCGACGAUCCGUAGCUGGUCUGAGAGGAUGAUCAGCCACACUGGAACUGAGACACGGUCCAGACUCCUACGGGAGGCAGCAGUGGGGAAUAUUGGACAAUGGGCGGAAGCCUUAUCCAGCCAUACCGCGUGGGUUAAGAAGGCCUUCGGGUUGGAAAGCCCUUUUGUUGGGAAAGAAAAGCAGCAGGUUAAUACCCCGCUGUUCUGACGGUACCCAAAGAAUAAGCACCGGCUAACUUCGUG
rnacentral:rRNA from 1 species